rnacentral:lncRNA from 1 species
GGAGCAUUCCGAGAGUGCCUUCUUUGUGCUUCUACCUACUCCUCCAACCCUAGGCAUGAUAGUUCACAGGAUGGCGAAAGGCUACUACGGUUCUAAGUUUGCGACGGAGGUGGCGCCGCCAGAGCUGGUCUCGGUCGUGAAGCGCAAGGCAGCGAAGGUACUAGACACGAUCGAGGAGGAGGAAGAGGAGUUGGAGUUGAUGGAAGAUCUUUCCGGGACUUGGGAGAUCACUCCUGCUGGAAUCGACAGAGAAGGAUUGUGAGUCGAUGAACGUUGUCCUGUAAACUCCUUUGAGUUCUUCAUUCCAGCCCUGUACAAAUUACACCUGUGCUGAUACUGAAAUUUUUGUGGCUUUUCUUAGAUUAGAUGCCGCUCUGUGUUUGGUGUUUCGUGCUCAAAUCUUGCUUGCAGAUGUAAUUGUGCUUUUACUGUACGGUGAUUGGCAAAGAAGCUCCUGUAGAAAUUGCCUGAUUCAAUCGAUAGGUUCCCCUGUUCUUACUUGGUAUGAGAAUUAGUUCCGACUAUUUCUACCACUGUAGAUCAGAUUUAUCUGCAGUACAAGAACAUAAUAUUUCUCACCCAAAAAUUCAAAAUGAGUGUUUUGCAGAACGAAGUUAAACAAAUAAAAAAUAAAAUAAAUAUUUUGCCAAUAAUUUAAAUAAAUAUUACAAAUGGUAUCACAUAAACAUAUCCAAUAUUGUACCCAAACAUUAUGCCACCGAAUGAUCCCUGUUAGUGGCUUCCGGAAUCACUUGCUCAAGGUAUUAGAAUUAAGCCUCAGAUCAUCGUACCAGAAAAGAAGUAUAUAACAAAUAUAUAUAUAUCUUUUUUUCCCGAUAGAUAAAAACAGAUCAAAAUAUGGAGAUACUUGAAUUCUGGAUGUUUCGCUGCAAAAUGCUGGAAUAUAUACCUCGGAGAGCGUCCCUGAGUUCCAUCCUGAAAGGGAAAAUAGCCAGAUUAAAAAAAUAUAUAGCAGGAAAAUAUUUUGCAGCCAUCAUCAGAAAAGUAGAGAAAUUUUGUAGAUUAAAAUAUCAAACAUUCUUUCCAAGACUUGGGAGUGAGGAUAACAAUUGUUGAGGUGAAUGUAAAGUCAAACAAGAAUGGGAAGGCUGCUAGAAAUUUGGAAACUCAAGAUGACACCUCCAGGCAUUUUUCCUUUUUUGCCAAUGGCUGCAAGGGUUCUGGAUUUACUUAGCAAGUGAGAAGUUUUCUCAACAACAGUAAAGUAGAAAAAAGAAAAGACCACAAGUAGAAUAACUAAUGAUUCAGAAAGAUAUUGGUAAAUGCUUGCUGCCAUAAACAUCAACUUUACAGCGAAAAAUCUCGAAUCAAUUGUGUGAUUGUUUGCAGCUUCUACAUUGAAUAAAACAGCCAGAAUUUCAACAAAACCAGGGAACAACCACCAAACGUAGAAUCAUAAAAUGGAACAGUGCAUCACAACCCCAACUAGGCUAAUGAAUAAUCAAUCAUGGGCAGAGUACAGAGUGAGGUGUUAUUCUGUGAACCAAUGUAGCUUCUACAUUGAGAAAAAGCCAACGUUUCAACAAAACAAGAGCAUACCCGCCAAAGAAGAAUCAUAAAUAUGUAAUAAUGCAUCACAACCCCGACUAUGCAAUGAAUUAUCGAUCAUGGGCAGAAUUCAGAGGAUUGUUAUUGUACUAGUCUGUCCACACACGUGUAGGGCACAUGUUGAUGGGCUUGGCUCAUGUCCUUCGCUGCCAGCUGGUAAGUGGAAUGCAUGACACUGAUCCUCUUUCAUAUAGUGACCACAUCCAGCUAAAACUUUGAAGCUAUACAAGGACCACAACCGAAGAAAUAAAGAUGAUACAGGAAAGACCAUUGUGUCUGCUUUGGUUGAUGUUUUAUCCUUUCCAUUUCUCUCUUGCUAAUUACAAAUUAGUACCCAGAUCAUUAAACAGCCAAUAAGGUAAUUGUACCAGCUACAUGUAUAUGAUUAUCGACGACUAAUCCAAAACUUGUUCCCCAUUUUCUUCCAACACCAAAUUUUGAGGGCAAAUUUUACCAGAUUACAUCAGCAAAAAACAAGCUUAAUAUUCCCGCCAGUACUAAAUUUAUAAGUCCCUCUUAUGCCAAAGUUCAGCUUCAACCAGGAAUUUUCUACCUGCAAUUAGACAGUUAUGGAGACAACCGUUACUCGGAUUUUCUAGCUCCUUUAUAUAAGUAUGCCCCUUGGGACUACGGUACAAAACCACAAACAAGGCUCCUUUAUCAGUAACAUAGCAGGAUGGUAGUUUUCUCCUAUCUGGAGCUCCUCAAAUGAUAAGUAUCCAGAUCUGAUUUUGGAGAUGCCAAUAACUUAUCCAAAGACUAAACCUUCUUGAAUCAUCAAGAUGGCAUUCAACUUGCACAGCUGCUACAUGUACAGACUGCUUUGCAAUUUUCCGUUUAGCCUAGAGCUUGAAACAUUACCAAUCCAAGGUUCUGUGUGAAGAUUGAACCACAUCUGCUGCAUCGACCAAUUUCUCUCAUUUUUCUUGUGCCAGUUGAAGGUUAUAUAUUGUGUAUCACAAAUAUGAAAGUAUUUGUGCCCCAAUUAUCUGUGUGCUGGAAGGUUGGUUUUAAGGUUCAUUAUGGUUUCUAGUACUUUCCGAAUCUUUUAAACCAAAACUUGAGUGGCCAUUGUAAGGUCAUGAAUGAGGUCAUUUUAGUUGUUGUCAUUGACUAUUAUCACUAGCCAUAACCAGGUUACAUAACACAUCUGGAGAACCCAGUUUCCGGCAGUUUAGGUGGUUUAAGAAUGAUAAAUGAGGAUGCCAUGGUGGAAAUUUUGGAAGGUUUACGAAGGAGAAUGUAUUAGCCCUCAGUAAUUUUGACUGCCACUUCCAUAUGCAUGUACAUUCCGCUGAUGCAACCACACUGGCUUUAUGUGUCCUAGACCAGCACAAUUAGAUGCAGCUCUUGCAGGAGGCACUAAGGCACAUGUCUUUGCACCAAGAUAGAUAGAGGACAACUAACCAAGCCAACAAGUGCCAUACACAUUGUACAUCAAUUCAUAUCUGAUGUUCCGUAAUUUUAUACAUUCAUAUGUUUUACUAUUUCUACUAAUAAUAAUUUAUGCACAGUGUCUAUAACAAGUUCAUUUACAGACAGCACUGUUACAAAUUUUAAAAAGGUAGUUUGGUCCUGCAUAUGCACUUCAAUAGAUGAAAAUUUGCUACCAAUAUGCAUGCAUCUACAUUUAAUUAUGUGAAAUCUAUCUUCAAAUAUAACUCUAUAUUUACUAAGCAACACCUAGGAGAAAGUUGUUUAAAUAAAUCAAAAUUGAAAUAAAAUAUUAUUUUAUUUCAAGGGACAUCCAUCUAAAACCACUCAAAUCUAGCAUUAUCUACAUCAACCAUCAAAAUAGAGAAAAUUGACAUCAUCAUAUCCAUUUGAAGUUAUGUGAUCUAAGAUGCCAUAAUAGUCUCAUGUGUAUCUAUAAUAACUUUGAGUCCCAAUUUAGCAUAUUCAUCGAAUGGCAAAAAAGGAAGGCUAACCAUGCCACUAGUUCAUUUGAACUAAUGGCUGUUUACCAUAUCACUUCCUCUCUAAGCUUCUUACAUGUCAUAUAUUCUAAAUGCUAAAAUUCUUAGGUAGCAUGUGGGGAUAAUCAUCACAAGAAAACACAUUUGUUGACUACACCAUUGAAAUCUACAAGAAGAAAGUCAGAAACGCUUGCACUCUUUGUUCCAACUUGGUCAACAUAUAAAAAUUACAGCAAGAAAUUGAUCAAUUUCAAGAUAUUUUAUAAUCUGCAUAGUUCCAAGAACUAAAUAGUGCAGUCUGAAAUAAUAGAAAUAAAGAAGUGUGCAAUAAAAUCUAGUUAGAAGUAUAUUAAUUCGGUCAUAUCAAAAAGAGCAAGGAAACCUACAACUCAAUAAUCUGCCAUUAAAACCUACAGUUGGGCCAGAAACAAGCACAUAAGACAAUAAAAUAGCAUUAAGAAAUUCAUAUGGAGAAACAUGUCUGAGUAGUUAUGAAUGACAAUAAUAUAUCUCCGACUAGAAACAUCAUAAUAUAACAAACACCAUGAAUCAAAAUGACAAAACAUUCAAUGGCUUUCAUUAUCAGAAAUGAAAGAAUCUCAAGAGUAAUGUCAGAGACUGUACCUCUCAACUCUUCUCAAUCCAGAUCUUCCUGCUCAGCCUCUGACUGCCUGUACCCUUGCUGUCCAGAAUUUGCGUCAUUGCUAUUACCACGGGCGUUGCCAUUACCCCCAUCACCAACUCCAACAACAUGCCCAUCCAGACCUUGAGUUGCAAAAGGCAUAAAUGGCCAGGGCAGAGAGAUACUAAAACUCCUCUGCAACAUCCCCGAUCCUGGAGAAUUCCCCUCUACAGAAGCCCCAGCUGUGGACCCACCAGAAUUCCCCACCCCAGACAAUGUCCUCGCUGCAGGGGCCCCUCUGCGCUGCUCGUAGUCCGUAUCGUCAGUAGGCAGCUCAUACCGGCACACCGGACAGGAAUUAUGCAACCCAAGCCACGGCAAGAUGCAGUCUUUAUGGUAGAUAUGCUUGCAAGGCAUCAACUUUGCCUCAUCCCCCAUCUCGAAUGCGUCCUUGCACACGGCACACUGGGCCUCGUCGGAGGCAAGCGACUCGGCCGAGAUCCUGAUGUCCGGCAGGGAUUCAACAGCGGAUUUGGCAGCCGGAGGCGUGCCAUAACGAUUGGGAUCGUUCUCCGCGAGCUGCUGGAUGAGCCUCUCGAGGCCAGGGCCAAUAAAAUAGUCCCCGAGGUUGCCGGCGCCGACGACGGGACCACCCUCGAGAACGACCUGGAUGUUGGCGCCACCGGAGAGCAACUGCCGCAUGUAAUCCUGGAGGAAGAGCAUCGGAUUGAAAGGAGCGGGUCCAGGGGUGGGGGAGGGUUCGGAGGAGCGGACGGGGCCGAGGAGGUCGGCGAGGUCCCUAGGGCUGCGAAGCUCGAAGUUGCUGGUUGGAGACAAGAGAAAUGGGAGGGGGGAUGGGGAGAGGAGGAAGGAGUCGUAGCUGCCACGGGGAAUGGAGAGGGGGAAGAUGGCGUUACGGAUGGGGAAAGGGGCGGGAUCGGGGCUGGGAGGCGUAGGGUCGACCUCCUCGAGGAAUCCACCACGGCAGAUAGGGCAGGUGAUGUCGAGGGUAGAGGAGGGGAAGAUGGCGACGUUGCGUUGGCAUUGGUGGCAGAAGUACUCCUGGAAGUCGGAGCCGGGGCCGGCGGAGGACAUGGUGACGGGGUCGGGAGAGGGAGAGGGAGAGGCAGAGGGAACUUUCGGUGGCGAGAACGCAGGGCAAAAGGGAAGGUUUUGAAACGACCGGGGGCGCUGAAAGAAACGCACGAGACUCGUGUCAGCGACAGCACGAUAUCUACCAAAAGUAGCAACCUUCCCAAGAGCUGAAGACAUUGAAUUCCAAAUUUUAUAUAUAUAUAUAUAUAUAUAUAUAUAUAUAUAUAUAUAUAUAUAUAUAUAUAUAUAUAUAUAUAUAUAUAUAUAUAUAUUCACAAUAAAACAUAAAUUUUUUGUUCGUCGCUAUUAAAAAUAGUAUAAUGAUCUGUAAAUUUAAGAAUGAAAAAUGGUAAAAUAUCAUUACUGGGAUUCAUUUUUCAUAAUUUAGAAAAAAAAAUUGUUGGCUAAAGGCAAAAGAGAGGCCACUAAAUCUUGUGCUGAAGAAUUACUAAUAAAUCUACAUGAUAAUUAAGGUUAUUUUUCCAUAUUUUAGCAUGCAGAAGAGAGGACGCUAAAUUUAUAGCUAAAUAAAUAAAUAAAUAAAAAUGUCGAUAAACCUGGUUCGAAUGUGAGGCAUGUACUCGACACUCUCUAUGUCGCGAUUCGACUCUCGCCAUUCCCAAACGAGUGGACUCGGAUUACCACGAGCCGCACGAAGAGCCACACAGCUUGAGAAGCGCCCGCGCCCUCUCCGUCCAUGGCGACGACGAGCUUCUCCCCCUCCGCGGCCGUUCGAGCCCCCUCCGCCUCCUCGUUCGGUCCGCAUCUCGACCUCAGCCGCCGCAUCCGCCUCCCGCUGACACGCCCCCCUGCUCCGGCAGCUCGGUGGGGGGCGCGGCGGCACGUCGCCCCUUUUCGCCUCGCCGCCAGGAGGCUCUCCGUCCGCUGCGGCGCGCUCGUCCAGAUCGACCAGAGCGAGUUCCCGGCUGAGGUGCUGGGGUCUGAUAUCCCGGUCCUGGUGGAGUUCGUCGCCGAUUGGUGCGGGCCCUGCCGUUUGAUCUCAUCCGUCGUCGAGUGGGCUUCCCAGGUCUCUUCUUGUGCCAAACCAUUGCAAGAUUUCUCCUUUCUGUUAAUUGUCGCGUUAUAUCAGUAUAAAAAUCGAUUUUUUGGGGGUUUUGUUUAAUGAAAGAUUGAAUUCAAAGGGACAUGAGCAUUUUAAUUCCUUUUUGUCAGAAAAUGAUGCUUUUAGGCUAAAAUAAUAUGCAUUGAAUGUAAGAUGCACGUCCAGGAUUGUUGCAAAACCACUUUUAGUAGAUUCUCAAUUAGGAAGGUGCAUAGAACAUCGAGAUAUUGCGUGACAAAAUAUUUGUUGUUUUGUUUUAUUAAAGCCUUAUAUUGGUAGAUGACAGCAUUUUAACCUGUACUGGGUUGAAAUGAUUCUUGUAUCUAGAAGGAAGCCUCCUUUGUGGAGGAGCCAAAUCACUGGGGUGAUCGAUGGAAAUUGGCUACUGUGAGACCUUCCAUCCCACAAACAACCACAUCAUUCGAUUCUGUGCCUUUGGAUAACUGUGAUUGCGUUUUUCCUGUCCUUAAUCUCUAAUCGCCGCCAUCCCAAGUCCAUCUUCCCCUCUUCUGCUUAUAAAGAGGAAGUAGGUGUCCAUGUUCUGCCGCAAGCAGCUUAUGCCUUACAAUGCUUCCACUACCAUGCCGCCCCCUGCUACCAUCAACUCAAGUACUCUCCUUCCAACUUCUUUGCAUCUUCCCAUGGAAACUAAUCCCUCCUAUAUUCCCACAGUUCAGGUCAUCCAUCUUCCUGAGAAUGAGCACUUCACCUACUUCUCCUCCCAUGUUGUUGUCAUGUUGGGGAGCCAACAAGGCAUAGUGGAUAUGUAUCAAUUUCUCUGUAAUUUUAGCUAUUAGGCCCAUAAUUAUUGAAGUUCUUAUUUCCAUCACGAUCAUGCUUAGAAUCAAUGCUAGGUAAAUUGAUUUUGAUAUUCCACGUUAGCCUUACACCAAGAUCUUUGACAUGUUGUUACUGGUGUUGCCACAGUAUCUCAAUUUGAUAUCUCAUUGUGUAUGACAUGUAAAAAUUCAUUUCAUAUGCUAGAAUAAUGACUAAGAUUAUGAGAAUGAUUCUCAAUUGUGUUCUUAUUGCUCCAAAAUUGAUGAGUGUGUAUGAUGGUGCAGGGUUAUAUAUUGCCAAACACUGGUGCAUUAUCUAUUCAAAGAAGUGUCAUAAGUCUAUAUCGCAAAGUUACAUAUUAGGAUUCUAACCUGUGAGAUAAUGAUAUGGAGAAACUAUGACUGUUGUUACUUUUGAGAUUUAGAUAGAAAAUGAUAUGCAGUCGUUCCAUGGCAGAACUUUAAGGAGUGUCGCAAUAAUUGCUGCUCUUAAGCUAUGAUGUCCAAGAGCUAAUCAGCAGACAUAACUGAACUUUUUUGUUAUGUUAUUAGUACCAUGUAAUCAAUCUUAAAUUAAUGCUAUUUAAGUUUUAGUUUCCUGAAAAUAUAAGAGUAAAAUAUGUGGAAACAUGUUAUAGAUCUGUUCCGUUCAAUUAGAACUAAUGUUGAUAUUUGAAAAAAUAUAUAUGUACAUGAAGAAUCAGACAAUUAUUCAUCAAGGAUAAGUAACUGCAAAAUGCUACAUUUACUGAAUAAGUUCAUUGGAUGAUAGUCUUGUAUCAGACAAAAAGGUCCAACAUAAGUUGUCCUUACAAUCACUCUUUUUUGUUUUUGAAGUGGAGUCUCUUAUUGUUUAGAGGUUUCAAAUGAUGUAUAACAUGCAUGAGUGCUGUAAUAGGGUUAAAUUGAGCUGGAUAUGUAGUAAGUUUGUAUGUUAAUCUAUUAAAUUCCUUGCUGAAUUCCUAGAUCUAGAACAAAAAUUAUAGUAUGUAGAUAUCAUAGUUUCUCCAUUGGAUCAUGUAAGGUUUAGCCAAUCCGUUGAAGUGAACCAGAUUUGCAAGUACAUGUUUAUCUGAUUCACAUUGUUAGCUAGAGAUGCAUAUUGACCCACUUUUUUCCCAAACAUGCAUAACUAAGAACAGAUACUUCAGGUUCCACUAGUUCCUUGAAAAUUUAACACUUUAUAAUGGAAGGCAAUAUGCAAAGUAUAAUCAUUGCCUAUGAAUAGAAAAAGUUUUAGAAUAUUUCUUCUCUAUUCAUGUCUAGCUAUACGAUCAAAUGAUCAUAAAACAGUUGUUGUCGGACAGUUCCCUAGGAGUGAGUACAUACCUGAACCUAAUCUAAAUGCACUGACUGGUCACUGAUUUAAGACCAAUUGAACUUGUUUUUUAGUGAUAUUACCUUCAAUAGCUACAAUCGCAGGAAAAAAUCCAUGUAGCCAACCCAAUAGUUGAGAUGAUUGCGUAACGUUCAUGUUAUACGAGCAAAACUACAGCUCUAAAGGUUUGCUUGAUAUCUGCUUACAAUUUUAUCACAUGUUUCAGGCACCUACAUGUUUUGUGUAUUGGGCAUCAUAGUUUUACUAAAUGAUGUAACGUUUAAAUUCUCUGACUGGAAAUUUGAAGCUUUCAGGAAUACAAGGGCAGAGUAAAGGUUGUGAAGAUCGAUCAUGAUGCAAAUCCUAAGUUGAUCACAGAGUACAAGGUUUAUGGCCUGCCAACAUUGAUCCUCUUCAAGAAUGGGCAAGAAGUUCCAGAAAGUAGAAGGGAAGGUGCAAUCACCAAAGUCAAGCUGAAAGAAUACUUGGACAAUUUUUUGGAGCCCACAUCUGUAGUCUAAUCUCUUUCAAGCUCAAGUACACUGUUGAAUCUAGAUGACCCAGACAUCUGUAGUUCCUCUUAUAACUUCAUGUAAGCUGCAGCCUAUUGCUUGAGGCUUCAAAUGAGUCCAGGAAAAAGUUCCCUUCCUCUUGGAAAUGCAAGCUGGCCUCUUGUAAGACCAAAAUAUUUUUCUGUACACACCUAAUAAGAUUUGUACUGUAAUCUGCAGUUGUCUUUUGAUGGCAAUAUGUGGAUUAGUUGUAUUAAAUAUGAGCUUUGACAAUGUUGAGCGUAGUUCAGAGCUGGCACUUUUCCUACUUUAAGAACAGAGUUCAUUUUGUGAUGUAUGGGAAUUACCUCAAAGGUAUGCGUUGUAAAGCCUGUUUCUCCUUGUUCACAUCUCAUGAAUACAUUUGAGGCAAUGCCCCUUUCUCAAAGAACUGCGGACAAAAGAACAGAAUAGAUGAAUCUAUCCAUAUGGAAUUUAGAAAGGAAUUAUGACAUAAAUUGCUGAUCAAAUGAUUGCUCUGCAGCCAUCAACUCACUUCAGAUAGGGAUUCAAGUCAAAAUUGCAAAUUUUAAUUUUCCAUAAAUAUUAAUUAAAUGUGGAUUUUUUUGAGUGAGAUUUUCAGGAAUGUUCGACUAAAAUUUCCUCAUUUUUAUGGAAAAAAUCCUCUUAAAAAUUCCUCCAAUAUCUUGUCAUAGAUUGUGCAAAAUGCUUUGUUUAUAUGGGCUUUUGGAUGUACAAACUCUUCAAUUAAGCUUCUCAAAUUUCAUAGGAAACUCCUCGUGGGAGCAAUCUAUGAAUCACAUGGUACUGCGGCCUCAACUCCAUCAAAAUCCAAGACUGUCGAAUCUGUCAAUCACUUUCUUGUGGAUACUCGACAUCGUUUGUCUCCCGACACAGUCGAAGUCUCCGUUUUUUCUUUUUUUCCUGUACUUGAGAAGUAGGAUCUGCUCAUCAACUUGCUAAUCACAGUUCCAAUGGCUUCUGGGCAUCAACGAAAGCCUUCGAGAUGGCGAGGAUUGCACUGUAACAACUGUGGCUGUGAUAUCUCAUGCUUUCUUUUAUCCUCGGAAUCAAACGAUGCCUAAAACCAUCCCUUUCUUCGGUUAGAUAAAAAGAAAGGAUGAUCGAGGGCCUGAGAAAGAUCGAUAUGCAUAUGUACGAAUGUGGGUAGUGUUUCUGCUAUUUGUUAAUCCAUUGUUACAUAGGGAACAAAGACAAAGCUGUGAUGAUUGUUUUAGUUCCAAGCGUCUUCACUGAUGCUGCUGGAGGAAAGGCUUGAGAUGGCGGCUUUCACUGUCAUUGGGCUUCGAGGACGACGAUGUAAAGAUGAAGUGGUGAUCAUUAGUGUGUGUUGCUUUAGAUUCAAGUGUGCCUUCGAACUUUGAGGCUAUGAAUGAGACUCAUCCAAUUGCCAAAUGUUCUUUCAGGGAAGGAGGAGAAAAGAUAUGUUUGUCGAUGUGUGUGUGUGUGUGUGUGUGUGUGUGGUUUACAUGCAGCCAAAACUCAUGAAGAGGGACAGUUUGGCUGAGUCGAUCCUGUCCAUCCACUUCGUGUAUAUUUUACUUGAACGUUGCUUUAAGAUUAACAAAUGUUUGGUAAUUGCACGACCGUUGACUUGACUUCUUUCUUCAUGGGAAAUACCAUUCCAUGCGAUUGUGUAUGAUGAGAUGAUGAACGGUCGUUAUAUUGUUUCGUAAAUACUCAUCAAAUAAGUCGUUAUCUUUAAAUUAUUGAGUAAUGUUUUAACCUUAAUUUGUAUUCCAUGGAAUAUUAAAUAUACACAUGUAUUCCUCUCACCAAUUAAAGGUAUUUGGUGAAAAUGUAAGUCAUUUGUGUCCUUUUUCUUGCACAGUAAUUAAAAUAAGUCAUGUGAUAAAUAGCCCACUUCAUCUCUAACCACCUCUAUUUCUCUCUCGCUAUCUCUCACACACACACAAACGCAAAGAAAGGUUCGAGAUUUGCCGGCAAUGGUGUCUUGCCUCGGAUCUCCGAUGCCAGUGGCGCUCUCCUGCUUCUGGAUUUAGCGUCUUGUUCGAGCUUUAUUAUUUGUUGUUUUCGUUUGGUUUGAGAUUUUCCUCGUUCUUUUCGUAAGAUUGCUCAUAGAGAUGGCGAAUCCGCGAUGGAAUUCUCAGACAAAUGGAUAUGACACUGCGAUUUGGGCCGCCAAGAUCGCUUUUUGCUUCCUCGGCAUCCUCUCCUUCGGCGCAGCAGCCAGGGCCGCCAUCCCUGCUGCUGCCGGGGCGCUGGCCUCCGCGGUCCCUGGCUUCUGGGAGUUCCUUCGCUCUUGGCUCGCGCCUCCGUACCUGUUCAUCGCCGUCCAUUUGAUCAUCCUUGUCAUCUGGAAGCUCUCCGAUCAGAAGCAGGAGCAUCACCAACACCGCGAGCAAUGGGCGGCGGCUGAGCGCGUGGCGGAGCCUGAGAAUCCUGCAAAGGUCAAAUCUUUCGAGCCUUUGCAUAUUUCUCCCGUGCCCAUUCUCCGGAAACCCUCGCCGGAGAUGUGGCGCGACGAGAUCUCGCCGUCUCUGACAACACCGGCUGUCCGGGCGCCGGAUCCCGGUGAAUUCUCGACGUCCGACGCGUCGUGCCUGACGACGGAGUCCGGAGAGAUUUCCACCGCUUCGUCAGCGUCUGCGGUCAAGAAGAGCGUCGAACCGGAGUCCAUGAGCAGCCUUACGGUGAAGAAAGAUGAGGACGAGGCAGCGGCGGCGGCCACUGCGGCUGGGACAGCGAAUGACUCGAUGGAGGCAACAUGGAAGGCGAUCAUGGAGAAGUCGCCUCGGGCAGCGGAGGUACCGCCACCGACGGCGUCGUCCGGGCGGGGCUCGAGGCAACCGGAGGCCCCUCCCUCAUCUACGGGUCAGGACGAGUUGAACAGGCGAUGCGACGAUUUCAUCAAGAAGAAUUACGAGCAGAUCCGAUUCCUCAGCGGCCGGCGGCUGUAGUUGGAGAUGCAAAUUACUCGUUACGCUAGUCUUCAUCUCUUCUCUUUCUCAACUUAAUCUUCUUUAUAGCUCGUUAAGCCCUUGUAAUGAAAGCUUUUAGUGUAGGGAGACUGCUGUGCUGCUAAAAAUCCUAUUUUUAAGGUAACUACUGUAUGAUGCAUUAGCCAAAACUAGUUUACGUCUGUCCUCUGCUUCAACAUUUUUAGCCUUUCAUACGAAGAGCAAUCCAAUUUUGGAUUCAUUUCCUCUUUCGUUUGUAGAUCUUUCUUUCUGCAAAUGUUCUGCUGUAUUAUUCUGAGGGAUGACAGGUUUGUGUUUCAUUGCCUUGUGGGAUUGCAGGUACUUCUGAUAUGCUGAACUUAUUCUUGACUUGGUGCUGCUGAUUGGACUGGCUGGUGACUUGUGCUGAUAGAUGGGAUGUUUGGUGGUCUUCAGUCUCACCUUUUGGUCUUCUGUUUGGUACUCUAUUUAACUCACUGUUCAAUACAUGUUUGUUAAGUGAUGGUACAGGAGUAUAUCCUGACAAUGAUCUGGAGUUCAUAUAAGCUUUUUACUUGCCAUGUGGGUUUGCUGAAUGUUUAUUAAAGUGACCAUAUUUACUCUUUGAUGAUGGCCAUUUUCCUUUUUUGGUGAUGGCCACAGAUCUUCAUGGCUUGUCUUUUGGUCUUCCCUGCUGCUUACAUUACAUUGUACACUAUGUUAUACUUUGGUACUAGCAGUUCACUUGAUAAGUAUUUGAAUCAUAUUGAAGUGUGAUCUGAAAGGUAGGAGGAGACCUUUGGAAUCAGUCUUGCUGGUAAUUCUCCUUUCACGUGAAUUGGUGUAAAACUAUCUAACUUGCUACCUCACGAUUAAUUUGUUUUGAGGAAAGCAUUAGUAUGUCAACAUGUUCGAUACUCUUAAAAGAAGAUAUUUAGAACUGUCAAGUUCUCAUGAACAUUAUGCACUGAUCACUCAAACCAGUUGUAUUUGAUGUGCAUGAUCAACAUGAAAGAUGAAAAUGAUUGAUGGGUAUCAAUUAAGUACAGACAUGACUACUGCAAAGGUACAAUUUACUUUGAAUGCAGGUAAAUUCAUGUUAGAGAUUCUCCUAAAAUAUGUAUGGUUUGGGAUGUUAGGAUGAAAUAAAAUGGGAGUGUGAUCUGAGCUUGGCUUUAUAAUCUGGUCUUAUCCACAAUGGCUGACUUUGAGACACACUGCCUCAUGAAUGUCAAUAUCUGUCACUCAUUGUCUCUGAUAUCUUCCAGAAUGACCCUAGUCUUGUGGUGAGUAAGAAGCAUAACUUCUUUAGCAUUGACUGCUGAUCAUUGGCAACUGCAGCAGAUAAAGGGAACAUAUCUUCUUCCUUAAGACACCAAAAGUGGUUACAGAAUUUAUUGGAUUAGGUUGAUUGGUUUGGUUUGUUCAUGUACACUUAUUUGAAGACAAUUCUUACUUAUCAAAUUGUCCUUGAUCUAUAUUGCUGAACUUCAACUAGUUUUCGGGUGGUACAACCUCACAUGACUCUCUUCGAGGUCCUUGGAUACCUUUUACAAUGUUCUCUCUUUAAUGUGUGAUUUUACACUCAUUUCUCUUUGAAGAAAACUGACUCAAAUUUAUUACUUACACCUCUUGAGGAGAUCUUUUUGCGUAGUUCUGCAGCAGUAUCUGAGUUGAUAGCAUCUGGCUAAAAACUAGUUUGUUUUUUGGUAGACAUUAUACAAUGGAAUGUAAUCCCUUUGUCAAGGUUGAAUUCAGCUUGAAGUGAUUCUCAUUUUCCUGUUGAGGUUGACAAUACAAGAGUUCAUUUUCUUAGAUCGUGUGAUCAUUUGUGCCUCUCAGAGUUGAGUCUUGGUCCAACAUGAUGGUGACAAGUGAAAUGGCAUUCAACACAAUUCUAAGUGCAUUAUCAAGUUCAGCACAACUUUUCCAUUUCAUGCUACAGUCAAGUAUCACUUUCCUCUUCUGAUGUUUUAACUAACUAGUUUUUGCAGACCUUUGGCAUAAUCAUUGUCUUUAUCACCCAGGUGAUAAAGGAGAAGAUGUUUCUUGUCUUAUAAGUACAAAGUUGCAAUAGGAUUUUGGAGCAUGACUGAUUUAAACUUGUCAUUCUGUCUGUACAAAAUGUUCUGUAUCAUUCUGUCUGUAAGUACAAAAUGUUUUCAAGUAUCAUUCUGUCUGUUCUGUUAAUGACAAUUCAUCUUAUAGCAUCAUUUUGGCUCUUUUAUUGAUCGAUGUUGAAUUGCUUGUCACCCAAAUGCAUGUUAACACAACAUAAGUGUAGGGUGUUGCAUAAAGAAUUGUAAUGGAAGAUUGAAACCAAAGAAGAUGAUUGAUUUAUCAAAAAUAAUCAGAAAGGUGAUACCUAAUCUAUUGUACUUGUCGUUAUUGGCACAGUUUCUUGGCUUAGUACCGGAUAAGUCUCCCAGCAAGAUUGAUGGUGACUAUAGAGUGGCUUCAACAGAAAGAACUCAAAGCCUGUAGAUCCUUAUAAAUGCAGGAGACAAUCUAAACAAUAGCUCAUCAUGAGUUCAGAGAAAUGGUUCUGAAACUAUCAGAGGAUGAACAAUAUCUUUUUCUUCAUGUCGAUGGUGGCCUGUCAGUACGAUCUGAUGUGUUUGUGAACACUGUCAUCCAUGUGUAUGUAAUUUGAUGGAUCAUGAACUGUCAAGCAACAUACCAACCAAUGGAAGGUGAACUUUCUGGGCCAAACAAUCACGUCAAGCCAAACAAGUGACCAGAAGGCCAUGAAGAGAUGAAGGUGGAGAUAAGGUUAGGAAUAAUUUAGUAAGCUUGAUUGGAGAUCACCCAUUGCUAUCAUUUCCCACCAGCACUGGGACAUCCAAGAUGGCGUUAGAUUUGAGUGAUAUACAUGAAUACAUACAUACAUAUAUAUAUAUACAUAUAUAUAUAUACAUAUAUAUAUAUAUACAUAUACAUAUAUAUACACAUAUAUAUACAUAUACAUAUAUAUAUAUAUAUACAUAUAUAUAUAUACAUAUAUAUGUAUAUAUAUGUAUAUUAUGUAUAUAUAUGUAUAUAUAUAUAUACAUAUAUAUAUAUAUAUAUAUACAUAUAUAUAUAUAUAUACAUAUAUAUAUAUAUAUAUAUAUAUAUAUAUAUAUAUAUGUAUGUAUAUAUGUAUAUAUGUGUGUGUUAAAUUUUAAUCGACAUGAAUGUCCUUUAAAAAAGCUUUGUCAUGAUAGAAAGAAAUUAGAUGUUGUAUGUUUAAAGAGUUCCUGUUGAAUAGUCGGUCUUCUUCUUUACCUAAUCAACUGCUCUGUUUCUAUCGUUAUUGAAAGAAUAAAAUGAAGAAGACGUAUUUAGACUGCUAUGUUUCUAUCAUUAUUGAAAGAAUAAAAUGAAGAAGAUGUAUUUAGUGAAGAUAUGAUACUCCCUAUUUAUACACGUUAUGAGAGAUGAUUUUUCUCAACAGAACUAUAAGAUUUCCUCGUGGGGGAAAUCUUAGCUACUAUCACAAGAAAUCGUAGUCGCUAUCAUGCUCUUGCCAGAUAGUACUUCUAUUAAGGAUGUCGAUCUUGGACCGAUGCGAUAAAAAUAGUUUGUGGACGAGAGGCUUCAUGAGUGAGUCUGCUAGUUGAUCAGUCGUAUGUAUGUAAGAAACACGUAGUUGAUGUUUGACAACUUGUUUUCGUACGAAGCGAAUGUCGAUGGCAAUAUGUUUCAUGUGUAAGUGAAAUACUGGAUUAACGCAUAAGUAAGUGGUUAUGACAUUAUCACAAUAUAUUGUAAGAGUAGAGGUGGAGUCGAUGUUAAGUUCCUUGAGCAGAUUUGUGACCCAAUUGAGUUCUACAGUAGUGGUUGCAAUGACACGGUAUUCAGCUUCAGUUGUAAAUCGUAAAACUGUCUUUUACUUCUUAGAACUCCAACUGAUUGGAUUAGCUCCAAGGAAGAUAAUAUACCCCAAUGUGGAUAUUCUAUCAUCAGAGUUUCCUAUCCAAUCAGCAUCAACAAAGGCAUGGAGAUGAAGGGGGAGUGUUUGCAAAAAAAGAGUCUAUGAUUGAGGGUCUCAUUAAGAUAUCGCAAGAUUCGUUUAACGGUAGACUAAUGCAUAGUAAAUGGACGAUGUAUGAAUUGUGAUAAUUUAUUGACCGCAAAUGAGAUAUCUGGGUGAGUGAGAGAUAAGUGCUAUAAGGAGCCAAGUACUUGACGGUAUUGAGUUGGGUUCGUAGCAAGGCUAGUAGAUAGAUUCACUAGUAGAUAGAUGAGUUGAGUUCCAUCACAUAGUUCGAGUGAUUCACUAGUAGAUAGAUGAGUUGUAAUUGUUUUUGUGUCUUACAUGUUUAUCUUUGAUAACAUAUCCUGAAUAUACUUUCUUUAUGAUAGGAAGAAUCCUAAAGAUGUAUAUGUUGCUUCCACUCCCAGAAAGUAGUUUAAGGUUCCUAGAUCUUUGAGGGAGAAUCGAUCUACCAAAUGCUUAAGGAAUGCCUUGAUCUUCAUGAGAUUAUUGCUUGUGACAAUAAUGUCAUCCACAUAUACUAGAAGAUAUAUUGUAUUGUCACUUUAUUGAUGGAGAAAUAGUGAUGUAUUAGACUUGGAGUUGAUAAAGCCAGUUGAUGUCAAAAGCGAGCCAAGUUCGAUGUGUUAGGAAAAGAGUCGGCACUAAGGAGGGGGGGGGGGGGGGGUGAAUUAGUGCAGCGGUAAAAAUUACGGUGGUUCAAAACUUCUUUGCGAUUAAAUCCGUUUUUGAUAAAAAAUCAUUUCGUAAAGGUAUUAACUUUGAAAGCGUAUGGAAGAGCAUAGUGAAUGUAAAGCAAGUAAAGUGGUUUGCAGUAAAGUAAAUUGCACAAGAGAAACGCAAACCAGAUUUUUAUAGUGGUUCGGUCGUCGUGACCUACAUCCACUUCGUCGAUUCCUCUUCCGUCGAGGCUACCGGCAUCCACUAUCGGUCUUCUUUCAAUGGGUGAAGACCAAUUAUCCUUUUACAUCCCUCUUCUCCUUUUCACAGGUUUGGGAGACAACCUUUUACAAUUCUAUUUUACAAGAUAUCCAUCUCAUACCUCCCUUAGAAUUCUUUCUAAGCUUUGAGAGGAGGGAACUUAAUUUUCUAAGUUUUAUAACUUUAGAAUCAUAGAGUUUUGCUUAAUAUUUCUUGCUUAUCUAUGCAGAAAUAGCUGGGGUAUUAAUAGGCCCCAAAUGGAUUCAAAUUUGGAGCCCAAAAUUCAAACCCCUAAAAUUUUAGGGUACGGGCGGUACCACCGCCUGCAACCUACCACUGGGUGGUACCACCGUCCAAACUAGCGGUACCACCACCCAAAGAGUCUCGGAGACUGAGUCUGGGCAGUACCACUGCCUAACAUAGUCUCGAAGAUUAUGCCACGAUGAUUUCACCUGUGUGGUCAUUGUUUGGGCCUUUCUCUUGGCCCAACACAGCCCAAACUUGGCCCAACUAUCUCCUAAUUGGGUUGGCCCAAUUCUAAUCCCUAUUAUAUGCUAACUAUAAAUUUUAAGACAUUUACUAAGCUAAAUAAAGUUUGUAAGUCUAGGUUUCUUCUUGCGAGCUUCUAGCGAACUUCCGACGAUCUCUCGGCAAUGUUCCAACGGACUCCCGGCAAGCUCCUGGACUUCAUGAUGAUCUUCUUAGCGAGUUCCAAUGAACUUCUUUGGCAAGCUCCGGGACUUCUCGGUCAAUUUCGACAGAACUUCCGACGAACGUCCGAACUUCCGACGAACUCUCGAACUCCCAACGAAAUCACGUUUUUGACUUCGAGAUUUCAUUUUGCUUUAUGCCUUGCUAUCGUAGUUAAUCUUGCACAUGUAAAAAUAUAUUUCGAUCUAGACAAUUAUUACUAAGCAUGAAUCAUGUUGUCCGGUAUGUCAUUGGUCCAUCGACGCUUCAUCCGAUUCUUCGACGCAUCAUCCUCUCUUGCAGCCUAUUACCCAAUCGGCCAGUUGACCUCUGCAACUCCGAUAUUCUUGGCGUAAUUUCCACUCUUCUUAGCCCGAUGGCCGAAUCCAUGGCCUAAAGCAUUCUAUCGAUACGUCAUCUGAUCCUUCGGCUAGACGUCCAAUCUUUUGACAUGUUCCACCGGUCCAACAUAAUUCUUCCUACUUUAAUUGUCUCAUCCUGAUCGAAGCAUCCUGCGUCACUCAAAACAUAGAUCAAUUCAUAAAUACUUAUCAAUUGGUUUCAUCAUCAAAAUUCGAGAUUCAACACGAUGUACUAGUCUUUUGGAGCUUGAUGAAGUCCAUAAAUAGCUUUUUAUAGUUUACAAACAUGCCUUAGAUACUGAAGGUGGAUGAAGCCAGGAGGUUACUACAUGAAUAUAUCUUUAGUUAGGGUCUCCUGUAAAAAGGUAUUGUUAAUAUCGAGUUGUCGUAAAUGCCAACCUUUUGAGAUGACCAAACUCAGGAUAAAUCAGAUUAUUGUGGGUUUAACAAUGAGACUAAAUGUCUUUGUGAAGUCAACAUCAGAACGUUGAUGAAACCCUUUGACCACUAGACACACUUUAUAUUUGGUAACAAAUCCAUUUGGAUUCCACUUAAUUCGAAAGACCCACUUAUACUCGAUGAUAUUUUAUAUGAGAUGAAAAGGUAUAAGGGUCCAUAUAGAAUUAUGGAGGAGGGUAUCAUAUUCUUCACAUAUGAAUUUACGAGAUUUUUGGACUUAAGUAAAUGUGGUAGUCGGUCCGAGGGAGAGGAGGAGGGGCGAGAGGCGGGGGAGGGUGCUAGUCUUCAAGAAGCGAUGAAACUGCUUAUCGAUUCAGGAGGACAAGUGCAGAGAAUUCCGACGGUGAAGUUGUCAGUGGUGUGGGCCAGCAACUUCUUCUACAUCUACCAAUUCAACAACGUGAACGACCUCCUCUUCAACUUGAGGACCAAGAGGCUCAACAACAUCUUCUACUGGGGCACGCAGAUGGUCAGCUCGAUGGCCAUCGGCUACGUGUUGGACUUCAGCUUCAGGAGCCGACGGACGAGGGCAAAAAUACUGGUGUAGAUCAGUAGUGGGGGAAGACAACUGUCGCAAUGCACGAGAGCCAAGGGAAGAGGGGUGCAUCGAGCAGGUUCGGCAACGUGUGCGAAACGCAGGGAAGAUGGGAGUGCAUUGGGUAAUAGAGGAGAUCAAAGUUGAUGUCACCGAUAAAAUGCAAGAGAGUCUCUAAUACCAUAAAAGAAUGAAAUGAAGUGUUAGAGCUAGUCUCAGAAAAUUUACCAAAGAGUAAUUUGGUAACCCAAAAAAGAUAAGAAAGUAGAAAAAAUAAAAACGACAAGAACACCAGAUUUACGUGGUUCGGUCAAUUGACCUACAUCCACGGACGAAGGAGGAGUAAAUCACUACUAUAAAAAAGGGACUAUUAUAAAUGCCUUAGGAAGAUGUUCCUAGGCCAUUUCAAAGCCCAGGCCUUUAUUUAUAGUUUAAACAGGAGAUACCAAACUUGAUUUUUCUGAUGUGGGACUUGCCAAACUAACAAAUCUCCACCUUGGCAUGUCUCAACAUUAACAAUUAACAAAACUUACUCCACCUUAUUCACAAAAGCCCCAAUGGGCAAUCAUCAACAAUGAACACCAACCAAGUCCAAGCACUGCUUGAACUUGUAAACCGGAAGAGGCUUCAUAAGCAUAUAAGCUAGAUUGUCUUUCGUAUGAAUUUUCUGAACAAGGAUUUUUCCCUCAGCAAUGGUACCCCGAAUAAAAUGAAACUUUACAUCAAUGUGUUUCGUCCUUUCAUGAUACAUCUGGUCUUUAGUCAAAUAAUACAUCUGGUCUUUCAUGAUUCACCGAACAAACCUCUUAACUAUAAGACUUCUUUGAUCGCCUCUAUCACUGCCAUAUAUUCUACCUCUGUAGUAGAUAAAGCCAUGACAGGUUGUAAGGAAGCUUUCCAACUAACUACACAACCGCCAAUGUAAAAAACAUAGCUUGUCAAAGAUCUUCGUUUAUCAAGAUCCGUAGCAUAAUCAGAGUCAACGAAACCAACCAAAGUAUCAUGAUUUUUCCCAAACUCCAAACAAGCAUCUGAAGUCCCUUACAAGUAUCUGAGAAUCCACUUCACAACCUGCCAAUGUGUUUUACUUGGGCGAGACAUAUAUCUGCUAACCACACUGACUACUUGUGAAAUAUCUGGAUGAGUACAAAUCAUUGCAUACAUAAUAUUGUCGAUGGCACUGGAACAUGGAACUUGCACUAUAUAUUCUUCCUCUUCAACUAACUAUGGUGAUUGAGCAGCAAAUAGUCGAAAAUGGCUAGCAAGAGGAGUACUUACUGGCUUAGCGUUUUUAAUGCCAAACCUCUCCAAGACUUUCUUGAGGUAAUUUUUCUGGGUCAGAAAUAAUUUUCUAACUCCUCGUUCUCUUUUGAUCUCCAUGCCAAGAAUUUUCUUAGUUGCUCCCAAAUCUUUCAUUUCAAAUUCACUACUUAGUUGCAUUUUCAAAGUAUAAAUUUCUAACAAAUUUUUAGCUGCAAUAAGCAUGUUAUCAACAUCAAGCAACAAAUAUACAAAAGUGCCAUCAGUUAACUUUCGGAAGUAGACACAGCUAUCAUACAUGCUCUUCGUGUAACCAUGACCCAACAUAAAAGAAUUAACCCUCUUAUACCAUUGUCUUGGAGACUGUUUCAAUCCGUACAAGGAUUUCUUUAACAAACAAACAUGGUCUUCCUUACCGUCAACUUCAAAUCCAUGAGGUUGCUCCAUGUAAAUUUGUUCUUCAAGUUCACCAUGUAAGAAAGCUAUCCUGACAUCAAGUUGCUUCAAUUCUAAAUCAUACAUGGCAACUAAAGCAAACAAAACACAAAUAGAGCUAUAUUUAACAAUAGGUGAAAAUACGUCAUUAAAAUCAACACCAUGUACCUGACUAUAACCUUUUGCAACUAAUCGUGCUUUGUACCUUGCAUCUUCAACCCCUGGAAUACCUUCCUUCUUUUGAAGACCCAUUUGCAUCCAACAAUUUCCUUACCCAAAGGCGGCUUCACAAGAUCCCAAGUUCUAUUCCGAUGGAGAGAUUCAAUUUCUUCAUUCAUCGCAAUCAACAACUUAGCGAAAUUAUCAUAAGAAACUGCAUUUGAGUAGGUAGUAGGCUCACUAACUUCACUUGUUUCUUCUGCAACAGACAAAGCAUACGCAACCAAAUUUGUAUAUCAUUGUGGUGGUCGAAUAUCUCUCCGUGGUCUAUCCUUGGCUAUGGAAUAUUGCUCUUCAUCUAGAUCAUCUUUGUCAGUAGACUCAAGACCAUCUAUUGGCAUUCUUUGAGUAAAAGAGUUCGACUUAAAAGAAUCUGAACUACCAAUCUCAAGCUCCACCUACACACUAUCAUUUGUACAACUAGUAGAUUCCUCUUUGGAAGAUAACAUAGACAAUUCAUCAAAAGUAACAUCUUUACUGAUUAUAAAUUUUGGGGAUUUAGGAUCAGAACACCAUAAUAUGUAUCCUUUCACCCCAGAAGCGUACCCAAGGAAAAUAUACUUUUUCGCUCGAGGCUCUAAUUUUCCUUCAUUUACAUGCAUGUAUGCUGGACACCCAAAAAUUUUUAAAUCAAAGCAAUCAGCAGGAGUACCUGACCAAACUUUCUCCGGAGUUUUAAAGUUAAGUGUUGUAGAAGGAGCGCGGUUGACAACGUAACAGGCCAUAUUAAUCACCUCUGCCCAAAAGUCCUUUGUCAACCUUGCAUUUGAGAUCAUACACCUUGCUCUCUCCAAGAGUGUUUUGUGUUUACGUUCGAUCACACUAUUUUGCUGAGGCGUCAUCCUAACAGUGCGAUGCUAAACAAUUCCUUUAUUUUUGCAGAAUUCAUCAAAGUCACCUUCACAAAAUUCCAUGUCAUUAUCUGUUCGAAGCCGCUUAAUCUGUUUACCUGUUUGCUUCUCAAUCAAAGCAUUCCAUUGUUUAAAGGUUAGAAAAACAUCAUUUUUAUACUUUAGAAAAUAAACCCAAACUUUCCUAGAAUAAUCGUAAAUGAAAGUUAACAUAUACCUAGCACCACCCUUAGACUGAACACGAGCUAGACCCCAAAGGUCUGAAUGAAUAUAGUCAAGAGUACCAUUUGUUUUGUGAACUGCCGGAGAAUUGAAGCUGACUCUUUUCUGCUUUCUAAAAAUGUAGUAUUCACAAAAAUCCAGUGGCCAAGUACUCUGUCCGUAAAAAAGACCUAUUUUACUCAAUAUGCUUAAACAUUUUUCACUCAUAUGACCCAAACGUAUAUGCUAUAAUUUGGUGAUGUCAUAAUCAGACAAUGAUGAUGACGAAACUGCAACUGAGCCUGUGACAGUAGUUCCCUACAAAAUAUACAAGCUACCAGACCUACAAGCUUUCAUAACAACAAGAGCACUUCUAGAAACUUUCAUAACUCCACCUUCAGCUACGUAUUUACACCCAAGAACCUCUAGGGUGCCUAAAGAAAUGAGAUUCUUUUUUAAAUCAAGAACAUGUCUAACAUUAGUGAGUAUCCUCACAAUACCAUCAUGCAUUUUAAUUCGGAUUGUGUCUCUACCAACAACAUCACACGAGGCAUUAUUGCCCAUCAAAAUAAUUCCACCAUUACAAGAUUCAUAUGUGGAAAACAAAUCUCUAUUAGGACACAUGUGAUAAGAACAAUCCGAAUCUAAAAUUCAUUCAUUUUUAGACCUCGUCCUAUCAUCAGUAGCAAAGAAAAUAUUUCUAACAUUCUCAUCAGUUGCUACACUAGCUUCAGCGGACUCAGUAGUUUUCUCAAUAAUUUUUCCCUUUUGUUUUAAUUUAUUUUUUAAUUUAAAGCAAUCAGCCUUAAUGUGUCCCAUUUUAUGACAAUAUCUACACUCCAAAUUUUUAUGUUUGGAUUUAGAUCUAGAUUUAGAUCUACUUCUGUUAAAUUUCCUUUUAUCUGUUCUACCCUUGACAAUCAGACCUUCAGCCUGAUUCUCUCUACUUUCGCUAGUGAUAUCCCUGUCUAUCUAUGAUUUUAGUGUAGAUUUAAUUUUCUGAUACGAAAUUAUUUCUUUUCCAUAAAUCAUAGUAUCACGGAAAUACUUAAAUGAUUGAGAAAGAUAACACAAAAGCAACAUAGCCUUAUCCUCGUCAUCAAUUUUUGCAUCUAUAUUCUCCAAAUCUAUAACUAAGGAAUCAAAUUUAUCAAGAUGUGAGAGUAUAGAUGUACCUUCAAUCAUCCGAAGCAUAUACAAACUCUACUUCAAGUAGAGACAAUUCGCUAUUGUCCUCUUCAUAUAUAAGGCUUUAAGUUUGUCCCACAUGCUCUUAGCCGUAGUCUCUGUAGCUACCUCCCGUCAAACUUCGUCAGAGAGAUUUAGAAUAAUGCUUGAUCGGGUCUUCUUAUCCAUACCCAUAAGAUCUUCCUUCGAUGUACUAUAGGUCAAUUGACCAAUAUCCACGGACGAAGGAGGAGAAAAUCACUACUAUAAAAGAGGGACUAUUACAAAUGCCUUAGAAAGAUGUUUCUAGGCUAUAAAACAUGAAAUUACUAAACAAGAAAAGCCUAAAGCAAACAAUUAGGUUUUCUUGUGGUUUAUCUGACUUCAAAGUACAGGCCCUUAUUUAUAGUUUAAACAGGAGAUACCAAACUUGAUUUUCCUGAUGUGAGAUUAUGUGGGACUUGCCAAACUAACAUAUGGUGCUUCCUAUUUAUACAUGGGAGGAAGGAUUUUUCUCAGUAAAAUUUGCUUGUGCAGUUGAAAAUUUUUAGCUGUUAUUAAUUAUGUCAUAAUUUCUACGUCACUGCUCCAAUAACACAUCCAUCUUCCAGUAUAAAUCCAGAAUAAAUUAAAAGGUGAGAAGUUCUGUUAGCAUUAUGUCUAAUUUCUUUUGCUUUUAUGCAUGCCAUGGAGAAGGCUAAGGAAUGGAUGAGUUUUGAAGAUUGUCUGAGUUCUUCAGACUCGUUCAAUCAAUGCAGGAAUGCUAGGAAAGUGCCAUUGCUCCAAGUCGUCAGCAUGGACGAGUUGGGGAAGAAUUGCAUGAUGAAGGAUUCUAUUUCAAGAACAGCAUUGAUCCUGACUUCUUCUGAGAAAUUGAGAGCAGUUUCAGUACCAACUACAACAAGAAGUUGUGACAUUUUCUCCACUUGAAAUGUACAAAAAACAGUAGAAAGCAGUCUCCAACUCUGAUGAAUGGAUUCACUGCAAAACUCCUACUUGUGAUUUUGAAAUCACUCUUCUCAAGUAGUUCAAAGAUCUCUGAUAGCUGAGAAAUCCCAUGAACCAGAACUCAAACUCAUCCACAGUCACUAUCUGGAUGUACUUUUGGUUAGGCUUCUGUGAGUUCUCACACAGGCUGGCUCUUCUCACCCUUCCUACUGGGAUCAAAACCUGUGGGAAGCGAUUGAACUCAGUUAUGUGUCAGAAACAUUCUACACACUGAUCAACAAGUUUGAUUCCCAAGAAGAAGUACCUUGUAAGGAACUCUGACCAAAUUUCCUCUGGGAGAAGUAACUCUGAUUGAUCUAUCACUGCGGAAGGCGAUCUUGUGAGUUGAAAUGAAGAGCAGCCCUGCUAUGGGACCAGCUGUGGUUGACAGAUAGCACUGGAAUGCCUGCAGCAGCUUUUCUCCUCUUUCGACUGAGAAAUUUUUUCUGAAAACUCUUUCGACACCUCCAGCUCGAAGGAUCUUUGCACCCAAGCUCAAUUUUCCCUUCACAGUCUCUGAGAUUUUGGGCCCUAAACUCACUGCACUUCCAAAAAAAUCACAAGGCUUCUUGCUUAGUUGCUAAUGUUUGGCAACAAUAUUUGCCAUGGAGGGAACCUGUAAGCUUAUUAUGCCGUGAGCUUACCAUGAUCUUUGAUGCCUUUCAGAUAGCCGUCCGCUUUUUUGCUGAACUUUCUCAUCCAAUCAACAGGUGCAUCCGCUUCUGCAUUCCAAAACGAUUCUGUGAGCUCCUAGAAGUCAUCGAGAAUAACAAGUAACUUCACAUGACAAAGAUGGUAUUACUUUGUUUGUACUGGGAGGACUCGUACGAGGUGGGUUGAAGGCACAGUCUCUUGAGCUCCGUGACGACUGCAGACUUUCCACACAUUUCGGCUGCAUAUCUGAUCGACUGGACAGGAACGCCUACAGCUUGAGCACGGCUUGUGUUCUUCAUGUUGAACCGAGGCACAGCUACCGAUUCCACUCUCCGGGAGAAAGGUCGGGGAGAGUCUAUGCUCCAAGAGACCGGUGUGGAGGCCUUUUAUAAGGCGAAGCAACCGCUGAUACUGUCACCCCAACCAUACUGCACAAUGCGUGAAGCAGAAUCAGCAUGGAAUCAUCAGCCACAAAGGCAUCCUCGUGAAUCCAGAAAAGAAAAGGAAAAGUCGAUCGACAGUUCAUCAUCAGCCACCAGAAACUAUAAAGAAAAGUAAAAGAAAGCCCCCCAAAGCCUUCUUUUGCUGCCUUAACCGAGUGAGCAAGUUCCGAGAUAACAUAUCAUACUGGGGCAUGCCAUGUGCUUCGAUCGAAUCAAGGCAACUCCACUCUCAUCUCUUUCCCCAAAAACUAUCAUGCAGCAUGUCUGACACGGUUGUGAGUCAGCAGCUUAUUACGUAGAAGCUUUUCAGUGAUAGCCUACGUUCAUGCUUCUUUGCUUGAUCGGGGAGAAAUAUAUAACAGUACACGAAGAGAAUGAGAAGGAAAGCUAUCGAGGCAACCUUCCGAUGGAAGGAAAGUGAUUGGGAUCACAUCAAUGGAGACAAAAAAAACGCAAAGAUCAGAUGCAUUGUGAGACCCACCAAAUGUUUCUCCAGAUUCGGCCUUGACUUUUGACUGUGAGACCAGCUUUUUCCCCAGCCAUUCCCACUUGCAGGUGGAAGGCAAUCUUAAAGGCCUUCCACUUGAACUUGUCUCCCUCGAACUAGGAGAUGCGCAGCGUAGAUAAGAUCUGCUGGGGCCACAUUCAAGACCCAAGUCUGAAGCAUUGAGAUGUGCAGGUAACUGCUUAUUUCUGCAGGAGAAAACGCAAAACAACAUGAAUCCAUGAAUCCCUUACUAUUUAGACCCAAAGCAACAGUUAAACGACAUCCAGUUCUAAGACUGCAACAUCAUCGGAAAAGGAUGUAACCGCAGCCAUCGGUUUCCAUGAGCCGAUGAUGAGAUUGCACGAGGAAAAGUGGUCCUUCCUUCCAUCUUUCCACCGGGAUAGAAUUGGUGGCCAUGUUCGCUGGGGUCGCCUGCCGUGUGCCACAUGAGGUGCACCUACUGCUAAAAUGAGGGUACCACCCACCAUAUAUACCAACACCAUGAGGGCCACCUGAUGAUGGCUGAGGAGGUUGCUCCAGGGGCUUCCCCUGUACUUGAAACGAAUGAAGUACUUCUUUGGGCGGCUUGCAACCUGUAGAAGAUGCGUCGAUAGGAAUUGCAGACUUUAGGGUUCUGGUGAGGAGGCCCAUUUAGGUAGCAAAAGACUUCACCCACAUAGGUAUUUCCAUCAACACUAACAACAGUACUGUCGAUGAAAUUGGUUUUAUUGAUUACAGCACUGCAAGCUUGCACUUCUGGACGAGUACAGUGUUCGGAAGAACCCGACGACAAGGUAGUAAUCAAUCUCUUAAUAUUUUCUCCGGAGAGGGUUCAAGAAAAUCGAAGAACAAGGAAGUUUGACACGAUUAUAAUUUUCUCGCAUCCAUAAAAAUGAGACUUCACUCACAAAAUAGUUGUUUUCAUCCCAUAUGUGUUUCAUCACCAGGAAAAGAAUACCAAGAUCUAUGUAGAAUGUGGCGACAUCCAAUAUGUCCCUCAAAGAUCGUCUUAUGACCGGAAAUCCUUUUAUCGCAAGAAGGCAACAUCCAAGCAGGUAGUUGGUGGAAUACAUCACGUUUAGAUCCAUGCACUCAUCGCAGAGAAGCCAUAAUCUCCAUGAUGUUACGUCGCGUUUACUGAGUUCAGAUCCAUGCAAGUUCUGACAUCUGCACGUGAAAUUGAUGUUCCUUUCCCUCGUUUAGAUCCGUGCGAGGACCCGAUGUGCGGCUCGGAUGCGCCCUAGAUCUCUCCUGCAUGCCCUCGAAGACUGGCAGGCGACUGGAGAAGCACAAGAACAAGUGAAUCCAACCAUGGGGAACGGAUAGUAUGACUGAAAAGCCUGGUGAGCUAUUGAUUCACGACAGUGGUAUGAUACUGCUUGACCAGCGGACGUCCGCUCGCCAUGCGUGCAUGGACCAGACGAUGCCAUCGAUCCUUGCUGGUAGUUGAAUUGAGAUUUGACGAAAGGUGUUUUCCUUGAUGCAUCAUGAACAGUCAUGUCAUUCUUUUUAAGGAUGUUGAUCUGUCAUGGGCUUCAAUCGGAACUUUGAUGGUAAAUGUUACGAUAUUUUAGCAUCAGAAAGAAGAACAGAAACAACAGGUUCGAGUAUUUGAUGAAUCGUAAAGCCACAGCAGAAUAAGAUCAAGACCAUCAAUACAAUCGACGAUCAUCGCCAUAUGACCUUGAAUCUGCAACUCCGAUGAACUCUGCUUGAUUCCGAUCCACAGAUCAAAGCUCCAACUUUCAAGUGCAUCGUUAAACCCGAUCCACUGAUUUCAGCUUUUACAUCAACAAGCAUGAUCAUGCCAAAAAUCCUUUAUAUAUCCAGGAUGUUUGGAGUGCUGUGAUAUGAUUUCUUGAUCAUCUCAACCAGAAGUAGGCAGACAGACGCCAGAAGCAAGCUUCUUACAGUUAAAUAAUCAAAAUAAUAUGCUAUAUAGAUCUCGUAAAAAGUUUCAAAUACGUAAUGAGAGCUUCAAGCAUGAAGCUGUUUAUUUUAUAUGAUGAGCAAAAAAGAGAGAGUAUAACUCGGAAACAUUACCAUAGCUUCAACCUAAAUCUGCAGCUGCUGGAUCGAACGCUGAUGUCGUCGCUGGUAGUCAAACUAUCCACCACCACACUGCAUCUCACGUUGAACGUCACCUUCCACAGCGUCAGCUUGUCAAGCUUCACCCUCACCGGCACGUCGCCUAGGAAGGUUAAUGGUAAUACCCCUGCCAGUUGCUGCUGCUGCAGUUCCGCGAGCAACUCGCUUCCUUCUUGUGUUCCUCCGGUGAGGAAAACAUGCAGCACCAUCGUGUUCCUGUGGCCCUGGUAGAACACCGGAAAGCUCCCGGUGCAGAGCCUCUCGUCGGCGUACCACAAGCUCAGUUCACUCCCCUCCUCGUAGUAUAUCCCGAUCUUCCUGUUCGGGUUCGUUGCCAUCACCGCCACGUCGAACACGGCACCGACGGUUAUAUCGUCGUCGUUGACACCGAAUCUGGAGACCCUGAGGUGGUCCACCGAGUACUUGGGCAACCUGAGGCGGAACACGACGUACACGACACCGGCGGCGGCGGCGAUCAGCACGAUGAGGAUGAUGACUGCGAGAAGAGUCCAGCACAGACACCUGCUGCAGCGGCUCCUCCUCUUCGGCGGUCUCAGACGGGCGGUACCUCCAGGAGUCGACGGCGACACCGACGCGCCGCUCUUCUCCGAUACUGUGAAGCUGGAGGGAGAAAUAUGCAUGUCCACCGUAUGGAUUCUAAGUUGCUCCGCCAUGUCUCAGCCUUGAUGUGUUUGGCUACCACUGUACAACAGUUUGCCAAUGAGACGAGACUCCACGCGCAUUCAACGUUAGACUUUGGGUAACAAAAUUGAUUGAGGUUUAGUAGAUUAUUUAGAGACUUUGGUCACAAACAUCUUUCCACAUACAACAUUCAUAGCAAUAAAAUAAGUCCGCGAGAUCUGAAGAGAGUCAAUAUUACAUAAUAUUGUCUUUAAAUAUCUAAAGAAAUUAUUUCUAUAUAAUCUUAUGUAAAUUAAAAAUAUUUUCAUGUCUACAAAGAGGAAAUAUAUGAAAUCAUCAAUAAUAGCAUAAUUUUAUGAAAUUCAAUGGAUUAACGUCUAAACAAAAUUAAGUGGACAAUAAAAUUUAUAUAUUGAAAUUUUCAGAAAUUACAAUAACUGAAAAGAAAAUAAAACGAAAGAAGGUAAAGUGGCCUACCUCUUUAUCUUCGAUAAGAUGAUCUCUCCUCGUUGUUCUCCGGUAGAUAGACGACACUCGAUGAGGAACCGAAAAGAAUUGUUUGUGGCCUUUAAAUAGGAGGUGAAGGAGAACUCUCAAAAAGGUAAUAAAUAAAAUUUGUUUCGGAUUUAAUUAUUCACUAAUCAAUCUAAUAUCUCACCAAUCAUGUCUACCCAAAAUUUGAGUCACCGAGUAGGAAAUAAAUUAGAUCGAAUAAGAGCAAACCCUAGUUUCGAAUUUUGGGAAAGGGAAAAAUAUCUCAUUGAUUAUAGGAACUUUACAUUUGGUGAGCGUGAUGGACUACUCUUUCAGGUUUGGAGUAAGAUUAUAGGAUUCUUUUCUUGGCAAGCUUCUUUUGCUACUUGACUGGGUGUUGUGGGCGGAAUAGAAUAGGGUAGCUUCCAUGAUAAUGUCACCUGGCACUGAUAUUGAAGUGUCUGUAUAAAGCUGAUGAUAACUCUUGUUUGAUUUUGAUUGGUGUGAUGCGGUGAAAAUUUUAUGAUGUGGGGGAAACUUUGGUGCAAAUGAAAAAUUCUGUCAAAAAUAGGUUUUAUUGUUCGAAGAAUAUUUAUUUAUAUGUGAGAUGAAGAUUGAAAAGAAGGUUAAGAUGAUUCCUAUAUUUGAUAUAAAUUGAUUCUAGUUUCUUAGUUAAAUUGGUAUUGAUUCUAAUUGGAAUUGGUCCACAACAUAUAUUGAGUUUGAUUGAUAUCCAAGCCAAGGUUUAAAGAUAAAUCCAAAUCAUAGUUUGAGUCAUACAUGAAUAAAGAUAAAUUUUAGGAAAAAGAAUAACAACUUAACAAGCCAAAAAGUUUUAUCAUUACAUGUAUUGUAUUUGAUCUACAACUUGACAAGGAUAAACUUUUGUGUAUAUAUUAGGUUUGAAUCAUAACUUAAUGAGCUUAACAUCUUAGGCUUAACCUUAUAGGUAUAUUAGAAUCAGCAUCGAUUCUAAUAUACAGCUCUUAAUUUCAAGAAUUCUGCACUCAAAGAAGGUGUGUCAGUACCAUUCAUCCAAGUUAGCAUUGAUUUAAUUAUUUAAAGCCCUCAUGCACUGGCAUCGGCAGCAUUCUCUUAGCUCUUUAUUGAAGGUAGGAUUUGCCAUUCGGAAAAAGUGCAAAGACCAAAGAAUGGACAAGACUUAGGUACUAUGGCAAAGAAAGCAUUUGCAAGUGAUCACCAAAAUUGUAAUGGUUUAUGGCAUCAUCUUGAACUAUUGUGCUCUUCAGGUCUUGCGAUUUGGAUAGGGGCAGCAGGAACUCGAUUCCACCACUCCUUGAUCCUCCUCACCAACUUCUCACUGCUCUCUCUCCUCACUGGCAUCUUUCUUGUGUAUAACUCCAGAAGCACCAGAGUGAGGAUGUGGCCGAAAGGCACCAGGGUGAAUCCUACUGCCACAAUGACCAUGGCAAUAGCAACUUUCUGGGUUGUCUGAAUGCAAAUUCUUCAAGUUAAAAGGCCAAAGUAAUUUUAUCUGUGGUCUAUUUUAUAAAUAAAUACAUCCAAUAGCAGGUAAAAUGAGUUGAAAGUGAAAAUUAUUUGAAAGACAAACCUUUGGAAAUGCUGCUAAAAGAAGAGCUCUUAGCUUAAGAAGGGAAAUGGUUCCUGUCCGAACAUUUGUUUGAAGCUGAGAAACACCUUCUUGUAACAUCAAUAACAGCUCAACAGGGUUCCGAUUAGGAGGAGGUGUAACUUGGAAUACUUGAAUUGGUUUUCCACCGCUAUGGUGCUUAUGCCAGAACAUGUAAACAGCAGCAGAUAAGAAAAAGCAUGGCAAGAUGUACCUGACCCAACCCCUGACAUUAUAGAUCCAGAAGCGCCAGUUAAGGAAACACAAGUAUAACAAAACAGAAAGUAAUGCUGUUUGGGACUGCAAUUAUAGAAAUACAUUGAUGCAACAUAUUUAAUGAACUGAAUAAAGUUGAAAUAUACUUGUUUCAACUUAAAGCCAAGAACAAUUAUGAGAUUUAACAAGACGGCAGGGGGUACCAGUACCAAGUGCAGCAAGGGUGGAUAUAAAACCAAGAAAUCAGAAAGAAAAAAAACUACCCAAAAUUCACAUUUCUAGAUAUUAAUUACCAAGGUAAAUAUAUGAUCCACAUAAACCUAGUCAAUGCUUCAUUACUGAUUAAGUAUAAUAUUUUAUAGUAACAGGAUAACUAUUUUUCUCCACAAUUUUUUCCUGUCCUCAGUGAAAUCCUAAUGGAGGAAAAUGCAUGGAAUUUAUCAUAUAAUAUCUACAGGAGUUGAAUUCUUCAAUUGUGUCUACAUGAAGAUACAGUAAGUUUUUUCAGGAAUGAAGCAAUACCUGUAAAGGAUAUACAGAAUCAAAAACAAAAAGACUCUUGAUUUAAAAGGAUCUUCCCAUGCAGCUAAAAGAUGGAGUAGUUUGCCAAUUUCAAAUAAAGGAAAAAGUAGAUCCUGCAACAGAAGAAGAUCAUACACAACUUUAACUUGUUACAACCAUAUUCCAUAUGAUAUAAGUCACUACGACACUUUAAAUUGAAGGCCAUAAGAUUUCCAGCUUUGUCAGUAUAUCUAGUAUGAAUUUCAGAAAGACAAACACAGACGGAUAUAAGUGAUGACCCCACUAAAGUAAAAUUGACCACGGCAGACAGUAACUCUCAGGGUCAUAAUUUAACAUUUUUCACAAGAGAAAAGAGAGAUGCAUUCUCCAGAAAGGGCACCUACCAGUAGUCCCAACCUGUUAGUUUUGCAGAAGUGGAUUUCCUUCCAAGGCACAAAAUAUUCUAAAAAUUCAUUUUUGGAAUAAAUUGAACCAAGGGUGCUACCAUCAAUUUUGUCUUCUGAUAUGAUGAAAUGUUGCAGAUCUAAGACCCUAAAUCGUUGAACAUUCACUGAGAGAGUCCAAAAAGGUUGGAGCAGUUUAUACUCCUAGAAAAGAAUAUCAACGACACACAUGCUCCGGCAAUUAAAUAGGCAUUUUAAUAAUUUUCUUCUGCUGUCACGUCUCAACAAACUAACUUGUAAGUGUCUAGUAAUAUCUUUUAUAACGAGAGGUUGAAGAACAUUUGUAUGUACCAUGAGAGAUCUGCUGAAGGAUAAAUGGCCACUAGAUACCAAGAUUAAAUAGCAAAAAAAAAAGAAGCCUGAUAUAACUAAGGUAGCCAAAGUGGAAAGCUGAUGCAAGAAGUUCCACGAAAGCCACAGAGUAGUCUUGAAGGAAAAAAAGAAAACAUUUUGUAAUGAGUAAUAAAUUGUUUUUCACCAUGAAAAAUUAAACGCCCAAGCGGUAAAAAAAUGAUACUUGCAUGUUAACAGUCAAGAGUCUAAAUAUGGUCCAUAUACAGGAUGUUUUGUCUCUAUGGUCACUUGCAAGGUUCCAAAUAGCUUCAUUGUAGAAUUUUUAAGUCGAAGGCCAAAUUACUACUAAAGUUUAACUCACCUGAAGCAUUCUCUUAAGACCUACAUAUUUGGAGUGCAGAAGCAAAUACACUCUUUCUAAGACCUAUAUGAGAAAAUUUAGUGGGAAGAAAAUAAACAGGAGCUUUUGUCUGAGUAAAUUUUCCAACAACUAAAAUGAGAUAAAACAGAGAAAACUCUGUAUUAUAUAGCAGCAUACCUUAAUAGCAGCUAAAUUUGUAUCUAUAUCCUCCACUUUGACCUGAUAUAAUGUUGCACGUGCUUCUUCAACUCUGCCAGAGUAACGAACUGAUUCUCUAAUGGCCAAUUGUAGUGGACUUGUCUCACCAACAUGGAUAUUACCAACCAAAACACCAUUUUCUUCAGGAUUAUCUUCCUUCUUUAGUAACAAAAAGCCCAUUCUUGUAAGUGUAUAUAAUGAAUCUGAUAAAGGACCUGUUAAUUGCUUUUCAUAAGAUGCAGUGACAAGGCCAUCAUGGUUUUGAAAUCUGAUCCGCAUGAGCUCCAAGUGAUUAUAUAGAGCUUCCAAAAUCUUGUCACCUUUUGGAAGCUUUUCAGCCAAGUUAAAAGGAAGUAUGCUCUUAAAAUGUGAGGGCAUGCCAUGAAAAGCUUCUUUCACAGCACGAGAUCUAAAGAUACCUAGAGCUGCCUUAGAAAGAGAUUCUGCUCUUUGAAACCUUUUUAGUUUGUACUUCCUUAUGAAUUUAUUGGCACGCAGGACUUCCUGAAUGAUUGCAAACCAGUAGUCUCUGUGGGAAUGACCACUAAACUCAAAGACAAUGGGCUCGACUCUGCAAACAAAUGAAUCAUAUAGCAAACCAAGAUCUAUCAGUUAUCAAGAAGCUAUCCUCUGUUCAAUUAGAUGAGGCCAUAAUUAAAUUUGGCACUUGUUCACUUACACAGAAUCCGACUUGCAUAUAAUGGCGUUAUCAAAGAAGCGAGCACCCCAUGGCCCAGUUAACUCACAAUUUACCACCUGCUUCAAGUCCUUGGACAAGUCAUAUUUGGACGUACCAAUGCCUGAUGCUUCAAAAUAUAGGGCAUGGCUGGUGAGUGUCAGCCUUCCUGCCAUUAAAAACAUCCUUCUGAAGCUUCUAUGCUGAUAAACAUUUAACCUGCAGAAAAACAGAUUACCGGGAGAAAGAUGCUUAACCAGGCCUUGUGGAUAUUCUGGUGUGCUGCAGAAUAGAUUUAGCAUCAACUUCUAAGAUAAUUUCUCCAUCAGCAAGGCUAAAAUUGAAACUCUGUGGUCGUCCAUAUAUAUGCUUCAUUGAUUUCAGAACCCUAUAAUAUACACAUUCCGUAAGUGUAAUGUCAUCAAGCCAAAAGAUAUGGCAUCAUAGUCAAAUAUAUUCUGGAGAAAUUUAUCUGUUUCCAAUGCAGCAGUCCGUGAUCAAAAGUCGUAAAUCCAGAUUACAAACGUUACAAUGCUUGCUAAACCAGUGGAUAAUAGCAACCUUAUCAUCUUAAAAAAGAUUAAUUACAAGAAAAUGUCAUCAAAAUCUAUACUCCGAAAUGGAAUUUGAUCAUGAUAAUUCAUAACUUCAGUAUAAUCCAUAAAACAUUUAGUUGCACAAACCAAAAACUUACAUAAAUUUUUAUUGACCUAGAAAAUGAUCAUGUAACAAAAUAUCAUGACAUGGCUAUUCUUAGUAGUCAAACCCUUUUCCUAUAAUGCCUCAUCAAAAAAUAACAUGUGGCAUUGUUUACUAAGAUGGUUAGGAAUUGAUCAAAAUUAAUCAUUAUAAUACAUUUGGGGUCAGCUACUUGGAUAUUUUCCAUUCAUUUAGUUCUAUCAAGGGUCAAAUAAUAUAAAGGUUUCUUAUGUCUUACCCUACCUCCACCUGUCAUCACAUAAAGACCAUAGUUGAUUCAUCUUGUCUAACCGGUACACCUACAACUCACGUUUGGAAAAAUAUCAUUUAGAAUGGUUUUAUACCAUCAGAACUGUAUUACUAGAUUUAUUGACAGUGACAAUGGUUAUAUUAUGCUCGCUUCAUGAUAAGAAUCUGCCCUUUUAAUCGGAGUCAAGUAUUCCUAACUGAUCGCAAAUGUAAAAGAAAAUAACAACAACCUGAACAUUUCCUUGUAUAAGUGACCCAGAAUCAACAUGCAAAAUAGUUGCAGUAUCACCGUGACCCGGUAUCAACUCUCAUCACAUUUCCUUGUUUUAUUAUGCUAUCCACAAUGAAGCAUAUAUAUACUCCUGGUAAUUUUCUCCCCCUUUUUAUGUUUACAGUAGUCUAUGUCUGUCAUAACUAGCGAUAGUAGCGAACCUAUUACUCAUAUUGCCACAGUAUUCGCAGUCGUAGCAUCUUGGAACAGAGCUAUAGAAAUCCAAGACUCCAUGGCUUAAUCGUUCCCUCAUUGUCAAGAUGCUUGCUUUCUCUCAAUCAUGUGUUUGUCUACGAGUAUGAAUAUGUGUGCAUGUUUAUGUGUGAAAUGGUCUAUCAGAUAACUAAUGCAACAUUCAGAUUGUAGACAUGUGAACAGUCAGCAAGUAAGACAGCAAAAUUAUGAUUAUGAAACAGUAGCUAGAAUUGAUGAGUUAUAACUCAUGUUAGUCAGCUUAAUUACUGAAUCAUGAAGAAAGAACUAUUGAAGUUCCUCUGACAAACAAGUAAUCAACAAAAUUCUCAGGAGAAAUAAAAAAUAAAAAGAUAUCAGAUGGCGUACUUGUAGAGUCUUUUGAGGUACUUGUCAUAUAUAAGAAAGUGGAGUCGGCCACCUGAAGAGCUAGUAAGUGCAUCAAAGAGAUUGUGCACAGUGAUUGGAUCUGCUACUAAAGCACAAGCAGAAACUAUUUGGGCAAAAGCUUCCAGUCCAACAGUCUUCUUGCCAUCAAUCUGAUGCAGGAGACAAAAAUAAAGACUGAUUUAAAUUCAUGUCAAAAGCAGAAUAUGAAAAAUGAUCUGACAUGAUAGUCAAAGUUAUUAAAAAAAAAAG